rnacentral:rRNA from 1 species
UAGGGAAUCUUCCACAAUGGACGAAAGUCUGAUGGAGCAACGCCGCGUGAGUGAAGAAGGGCUUCGGCCCGUAAAACUCUGUUGUUAAAGAAGAACAUAUCUGAGAGUAACUGUUCAGGUAUUGACGGUAUUUAACCAGAAAGCCACGGCUAACUACGUGCUAG